UACAGAGGGUGCAAGCGUUGUUCGGAAUUAUUGGGCGUAAAGCGCGUGUAGGCGGCUUUGCAAGUCGGGUGUGAAAGCCCUCAGCUCAACUGAGGAAGUGCGCCCGAAACUGCAGAGCUUGAGGCCGGGAGGGGGUAGCGGAAUUCCCAGUGUAGCGGUGAAAUGCGUAGAUAUUGGGAGGAACACCAGUGGCGAAGGCGGCUACCUGGACCGGUUCUGACGCUGAUGCGCGAAAGCGUGGGUAGCAAACAGG
rnacentral:rRNA from 1 species